AGGAACCAAUUGAGACUGCACUGCAGUCUAGCCUGUCCUUCCUGCCAAACCCAAUGAAGGGGAACCUCCGAUAAACCUGUGCAUGCAUUUUCCUUUACAAUGUUUACAUGUGAAGAUGGCACCUGGCCUAUACCCAAGUUAACAAGACUCAGCAACUGCCCCUUCACACCCACAGAAUCCCUGAUCCUGAGGAGGAGGAGAAAGAAGCCCACUAGGGAGGAUAUGUUCAGCGAGAUCCUGCAGGCAGUGUUGCAUCAGAUUGCAUACAAAGAUCCUGGUGGUCCAACAUGGCAGAUGGCAUGAAGCGGGACAGAAGAAAAUGGAGAAAGACCCAGGACUCCCACCAUGAGAGGAAGAUGCAUCAGGACAUAAUGGGACUUGUCAGGCAGCAAACACAGAUGCUGCAGACUCUAGUUGACCUGCAGAUCCAGCAAUCAUGGUCUUACCACCUUUGCGGUCCCUGGAGAACUCCAUGGUGGCAGCUCCCUACAUCCCCCAACAUUCUACAUGGACUCCUGGGCAUCCUUCCCUCUACCACACCAAGCUGAAGUGCAUGUGUAGCAAAAAUGGACCACAUUCAUUGAAAUGGACAGAAAUAUUUGUUGCCUUUCUAAUUUUAAAGUUCCAUUGCAUUAAUUUAUGUUCGAAGUUUAUAUUGUACUUUUUCAUUUGCACAUUUUUUUUGGUUUUGUUUAGCUUUGUUUUUUUUUCACUGCUUUUGUCACUCAAUAAAAUUCUAUUCUUUAAAA